GCUACACAUAUACUAAAACUGAAAUGAUGCAAGAAAAUUAGCAUGGCCCCUGUAUAAAAAUGAUACAUAAAUUUGUGAGGUGAUCCAUAGUUUU
ensembl:snRNA U6 U6 spliceosomal RNA